CAAAAAAAAAAAAAAUCAAGGUUUUAAAUUAGGGAACACUUGUUUAAGGAAAGCUAAAAGCAAUAUACGAGAUUCAACAACUGAUUUUAUAAUUAUUAUUUGAAUUUUCACUUUAGAUCCUCAGAGGUUUCUACGGCGACCAACACUGCCUAGCAACAGGGCGAUAAAGCUAUUUGCAGGGUGUUGAAGCUCCCUAGUCUUCACACCUGAGAUCUGUGACAUUCUUCAUCCAGCAGCAGCGCCAGGAUGGUCGCACCUCAUCCUCACCAACAGUUAGUGGGAUAAAAACUUGAAAACUAGAAACGAGCUGCCUCCUCUUCUCCUGCUUGAAUCUCGAAAUUGAACCUUUUAUUAUUUUGCAAUAAUUUUAAUUUGGUCAUUAUAGAAAAGACUUCCCAUGAUGCAUCUUUAUCUAACAAAUGAAAAUACAAAUAAUUAACCUGUCUAGAAAAGGUAUAGCAUGAAUGAGGAAGCGGCAGCUGCUGCACUUCAGGAAAUCGAUCAUCUGUUCACACAAUCUCUUUACCUGAAACACUCAGACUAAGCUGGGUGGAGAGAAGCGUUGUUAAAAAUUAAAAGGUAAAGAUCUGGUCAGAAUAAGAAUGGAAAUCACUUUAAGGCUGCAACUACGAUCCUAAUAAUGAGGGAUAAACAUGUUUCUGUCUCUGCAGAGGCUUUUUACAAAAACAUAAAGAAAUUUAUGCAGAUUUAUAAAUGAGCCUUCAGGCAGAAACCUUCUAAACCAACUGCUGGUCACCAUUUUCAUUUCUUAUCCUCGGCAGGUUCUGCCAACUUAAGCUACUUGAUGGUCAAAGUCCGAUCAAACCGGCCCUGAAAGGCCAGACGAGGACACACAGAGUCCGCUCGGUGUAAAUCCUGUAGAUAUGUGCCACGGCUGUCUGCAUGUGAGACAACCAGAGGAGCGUCCUCGUCCUGGCUGGACAUGUCCUGGAUAGCUGCAGACAUGACCACUGAUUCCAGUAAAAAAUCGGAUUAUGGUUCCAGCAUAGCGAUGUCAGGUGAUCCUGUUUAUGGGAGUGACUGUCACUAUCACGUAUUCUAAUGCUGCAUGUUUCAAUUUAAAUGUUGAGGUCACAUGCUGCAGCCUUUCGAUAACCAGUAUAUUGCAGUAAAAUUGUUUUUUUUAAUGAUUUCCUGAUGCAUUUUUGUGUAGAAUUUUUAAUUAAAAUUCUCACCACUUCAGGCAGGAGCUUGGUGGCCAGGUCAUGGAUGGCUUUUCCCAUGAUGCACAUGGAAGACAGGAUGAAGAUCACGCCCAGGAUCACACAGGCUCUGUGAAAGAGAGGGAAACAAACCUUACUUUGAUGCUCUAAGCCAAGGGUUUCCAUCCCUCCUCCAUAGGAUAUGAUCUCAUCUGUUGUCUCUCCUGCAAUUACUUGAUACUCCUCAGAGACCGUGACACAUCUCCACUCCUGGGUGUGUGAAUCGAGUACUUGCUGCUCUGGAAGCAGCACAGACAGCUUAGCUUUUUAUCCGAAAUGAAGUUCAAGGUUUCAGGAUUUUCAUUGCUCUUUAUGUUUAGACAUAUAUGCAUAGACAG